CCUCUCCCUAUGCAAGAUUGCCACAGUUCAGUUCCCUCCGUUGAAACAGGAGGGAGGUGCAGGCCGGGCAUUUUCUGUGAAAGUCUUUCAACUUCGGGAAAUUCCCUCUCCCCUGGGCCUAGCAGCGCCGGGGUUUGUGAAGCAACUUUCUAGACAUGCCGUAAAGCUCAUCUUGCAUCGCAUGCGUUGGGGAAGGGCAGGGGCUGAAUUUCUUGGCAGGGUUUGGCGCUGGGGGUUUGUGUGACCACAGUCUAAAGGAAUAAGAGUAGAUGCCGGAACGGACCAUGUCCCUGGAGAGCAGCCUCCAGGGUGCCGCUUUGUCCUGCGGACGGAGCCUGUUGGCGGUUUCCCUGAGUCUGCCAAGCUCGGCUUCGGGCUCCCACGCUCGGGAGGAGGCCGGGCAGGAUCGGGGAGGGCAGGCUGGAGGCCGGGGCAGCGGGUCCAGCCUGCGUUCAGCAGAGGGCGCCCCGCGUUCCGCUGGAGCGGAGCCGGGAGGAGCCUCCCUGCGCCGCUCGCCUCGGCGCGGCCGGUUCGCAGCUGGUGCUGCCACGUCCUCUGGGCUGAGCCGGGACUCGGGCGCGGCGGCCGGAGCCCCACGUGCGCGGGGAGCCGGGACCCGGGAAGCUGCUGCUGGUGCCCGGCGCUGGGAAGUUGGAGGCGGCAGAGCCCGGACCCCUGGCGGCAAAGACAACUCCAAGUGGAUGUAUUAGACAUUUCUUGUCCUGAAUAGUUGCUGUAUGCUUGCAGUUGCCUCUUAAAGAAAGAGCUGGCUGCAUUUUGGUGGUGGAUAAGUGCAAGAGCGUCUGCUGUCAAAAUUCGGCGUCACUUAUUUGGUUGAAGGCCAGUGGAAAAUAAUCCAGUAGAGCCACUAGCUCAGGGACCAUCUGUGAAGCCAUUCUCUGACAUUUGGGUGCUUUAACAUCAUAUCUUAAUAAAUAAAUCCUUGAAACAUUAGGGAGCUAAGAAACAGCAUAAAGGUUUUAAGGCUCUGAAUUCUUGUCUGGUUUUACUUCUUACUUAUCCAGUUAUUUUCUGCUCCUAUUGUCUAGAAUUUCUCUGGCAUUUCUCUGGAACAUGUUUGCCCUUUGUUUUAAUAUCCCUUUCUGACUAUGCAUUUCGUAUACCUGAGCUUAGUUGCUGCUCGUUCUCUAAUUCUGUGACAGCCUUGUCCUCUUCAUAUUCUUCACGAUUAAGAAAAGUUUCCCUGGAUCUGCUAUCAUCCCUUUUACUCAUUUUGAACGACACAGCUAUCUCCUUUUUUCUGCUAACAGGGAGCAGUUGAGCUUUCUUCCUCUGCUUUUCCUGCUGCUAAGGUUUGUCACUGUACCCUUGCUUCCAUUUGUGUCAGGCCUUCUCUAAGCAGGAACGACAUUCAUGGAGACUUAAAUUAAAUAAGUGGGUCAAAAUGAUAGCUACAGAAAGAUGAGAAAUUCAUAGGCCCUGAGGCCUUCACAGUUGUCACUGGGCUACACACCAUGGCUGCGUGGUACUUCACAGCAGCAGAGGGGAAUAGAAAACUCGGAUCUUCCUGGUUUAAAAGAACAGACCUUAUCACUUGAGGUAAAGGAAAAUCUCUCGGGGUGGUUAACAGGGUAGGACCUAUGCCACACAAUUAAGCUGUUCUGAGUCAAAUAUUUAAAAAAACAGGAAAAUGUGGUUGGAAAAGCAGGAAGGUUGUAAGAGAGAUUUGGAGGCAGGUAUAAGACCUCAGACAACAUUUAACUCAUUUCUUGAAACUGACUGUGUCCCUUUGUGAAACAAUAGUAAUAAUAUUGAGCUGUUUCUUUGCAUGCUAAUGAAAUUCCCUUCUAAAAAGUGUUGAGAGCAAUAUAAAGAGCAGAAGUAGUUGGGGGAAAUAUGCAUUGGGUUUUGAGCACUAAAGCAGCAUGGAGAAUAAAAAUAAACUUUCAUUUCAAGGUUUAAAAUCCUGUGUAGUUUUGUUAACUGUGGGCACAGAACAAUGAAAGAAAGAGAGGUCUCCUAUCAUAUAGUCUGCAUGUAACUAAUCUGUUUCUAUUUAAAAAAAAAAGAAAGAAAUUGUAAAGUUCAAUUAACGUCAAACUUUCAAAAACAAUCCCCCCAAAUGCCCACUACCCUCCCCCCCCCCCAAAACCAAACCUGAGUUAUGAUACCUGUUUAAGAAAACAAUGGGUUUUUUUUUCUUUCUCUAGGCUCUUGAUUUUAUUCACAGGU